rnacentral:rRNA from 1 species
AUGCUGGUUACGCUAUCUGCAGUCGUACGCUUCUUUUUCCACCGGAGCUUGCUCCACCGGAAAAAGAAGAGUGGCGAACGGGUGAGUAACACGUGGGUAACCUGCCCAUCAGAAGGGGAUAACACUUGGAAACAGGUGCUAAUACCGUAUAACAAUCGAAACCGCAUGGUUUUGAUUUGAAAGGCGCUUUCGGGUGUCGCUGAUGGAUGGACCCGCGGUGCAUUAGCUAGUUGGUGAGGUAACGGCUCACCAAGGCCACGAUGCAUAGCCGACCUGAGAGGGUGAUCGGCCACAUUGGGACUGAGACACGGCCCAAACUCCUACGGGAGGCAGCAGUAGGGAAUCUUCGGCAAUGGACGAAAGUCUGACCGAGCAACGCCGCGUGAGUGAAGAAGGUUUUCGGAUCGUAAAACUCUGUUGUUAGAGAAGAACAAGGAUGAGAGUAACUGUUCAUCCCUUGACGGUAUCUAACCAGAAAGCCACGGCUAACUACGUGCCAGCAGCCGCGGUAAUACGUAGGUGGCAAGCGUUGUCCGGAUUUAUUGGGCGUAAAGCGAGCGCAGGCGGUUUCUUAAGUCUGAUGUGAAAGCCCCCGGCUCAACCGGGGAGGGUCAUUGGAAACUGGGAGACUUGAGUGCAGAAGAGGAGAGUGGAAUUCCAUGUGUAGCGGUGAAAUGCGUAGAUAUAUGGAGGAACACCAGUGGCGAAGGCGGCUCUCUGGUCUGUAACUGACGCUGAGGCUCGAAAGCGUGGGGAGCAAACAGGAUUAGAUACCCUGGUAGUCCACGCCGUAAACGAUGAGUGCUAAGUGUUGGGAGGGUUUCCGCCCUUCAGUGCUGCAGCUAACGCAUUAAGCACUCCGCCUGGGGAGUACGACCGCAAGGUUGAAACUCAAAGGAAUUGACGGGGGCCCGCACAAGCGGUGGAGCAUGUGGUUUAAUUCGAAGCAACGCGAGACCUUACCAGGUCUUGACAUCCUUUGACCACUCUAGAGAUAGAGCUUUCCCCUUCGGGGGCAAAGUGACAGUGUUGC